UCCGAGUGACACAACAAUGCAUAUAUACCCACAGUGACCAUCUGCCACAACAUUAACAAUGUCCACAAUGAAGGGGUGACUAAUAGGAUGAAACUUGUCUAUCAUUACAACUCUCCUUUUCUGCACUGCAUUUGGCUUUGAUUGUAAUUUACUUCUCGCAGACGAAGAUUCAUCGGUUGAAUGAAAGGCGUCAACAUGCUCAAAAUAUGAUAGCUCCCACG
rnacentral:lncRNA from 1 species